rnacentral:rRNA from 1 species
UAAUACCAGCUCCUCGAGUGGUUGGGAUGAUUAUUGGGUCUAAAGCGUUCGUAGCCGGCCGGAAAAGUUCUCCGUUAAAUCCAACGAUUCAAUCGUUGGGCUGCGGAGAGUACUUUCUGGCUUGGGGGCGGGGGAGGUCGGCGGUAGUCCCGGGGUAGGGGCGAAAUCCUAUAAUCCCGGGAGGACCACCAGUGGCGAAGGCGGCCGACCAAAACGCGCCCGACGGUGAGGGACGAAAGCUGGGGGAGCGAACGGGAUUAGAUACCCCGGUAGUCCCAGCUGUAAACGAUGCAGGCUAGGUGUCGGGACGGUCACGAACCGGUCCGGUGCCGCAGAGAAGUCAUUAAGCCUGCCACCUGGGAAGUACGGCCGCAAGGCUG